GCCCGGAUGGCGAAACGGCAGACGCUGGGGUCUUAAACACCUCUGUCCCACCUGGGACGUGUGGGUUCGAAUCCCACUCCGGGCA
rnacentral:tRNA from 1 species